GGGGGAAGGGGGGGGGAUCAAUUUUUUUUAAAAAAUUUAUUUUCAUACCCCUCGCGCUGUGCUUUCGCGUGCAUUCGAACCCGUAUUAUUAAAAAAAAAAAGCGUUCACUCCGCUGUUUUAGGGAGUGCAAAUGACCCCACGAGGCUAUGCUUUUUUAUUUUCCUAUCUUCAUUUUCCUUACCCCUCCCACUCGCUCAGGUGGGCAUGUGCUUUGGGGUCUGCAUGAUCCCCCAGAGGGUGGAGGGGAUUGGGGGGGGCAUCAAUCUAUUUAUUUAUUUAUUUUCAUACCCCUCGCGCUGUGGAGUUUGCGACUACUAUUCGCAGUCCAGCCUGUUCCUGUGACGCUUUGAGUGUGUGAAAUAUUGUUGUUUUUGUAAAAAAAAAAUGCUUUUGUCUUUUCACGGUUGCUUGUGUUACAGUAAGCUUGCCUGUGAAACUCAAUAAAACAAUGAUGGAGUUGAUGUGUUUUUUUUUCUUGUUGUUUUUUUUUUCUUUCAACCAUUUUUCACUCCAGCAAGGCAUGAGUCAAGGUAAGUAAACUUUACAGCGACUUUUUCUUUUUAGCUGGGACGUUUGAUUAUGUUUUAUGUCUUUCUUUUUUUUUUAAAAAAAAAACCUGUUGCAACUGUAAGACUUUAGAUUAUUAUUAAAUACCUUUUAUUUAUUUUUUGGUUUCUUUUUUUGUUGUUUGUUUUUGCUUUCAAAAAAUAAAAAGUUGUGUCUCAGCUCGCUUUUUGGAAAAUCAGUUUUAAUACAGGAGCAGUUGCUGCAAUACCUCCACACCAGGUGGUGGCAGUAUUACACCAUUCUGUUUUUCUUGUCAAGCUGCAGGAACGUAAAACAACUUCCUGUUAGCAUAGCGACACAUAUGAAGAAUGGCAGAGUGGAAGAAUUGCAGUUUCUGUGGUGUUCCAGGCUGUUCGUCUUCCAACCAAAAACAGCCCUACUUUUCAUUUCAUUAUUUUCCUGUGGAUCCAAACCUCAAACCCAAAUGAUAUAGGCGAUCCGAAGAGAGGAAGGGCAUAGUUUAAUGUAAACACAGGUGGCACCCUCUGCUCUGCUGCCGGCAAUUUCGCUCCGGAUUGUGGUGCGGCUGCGUCGUUCGUCGCCCGAAGAGUGGUGUUGUCCCGAGCCUUUUCCCUUGGAAAAACUUUACUGCUCCUUUGAGAAUGGAGUCAUUAUAUGACAGAACCUCAAACAUCGGGCUAUGCAGCUAUGCUGUGAAGAUAGCAACAUGGUGGCUAAGCUAAGGCAGUAAAUGGAUCAGGACUACGUGACACACCCACCUGCAGGUGCUCUGGAUGAGGCUUUCCAUGACUUAGAAGCCAAGUUCCUUUGCUGGAGCCAGGAGUCGAUGUCAUGGCGGACAAAGAGUUCCUCGUUCAAGACCUCAUUACUGACAUUGGAUCUAAGCUCAUCAUGCCACCUUUUAAGCGUUCAGCUCCAUCAGCAAGGAGGAAACGGAACAAACGCAGUCAUGCCCCGCCUCAGAAUUAUGGUGGAAAGAGUGAUCUGUAGGAUAAAGUCCUUUCACAUCAGGGACUCUCUCGUGCCGCUCACACUGAUGGGCAGUGUGAAUCAGAUCUGGCUUAACUGCCGUGUUUUGGCAAAUUGUCAAGGACUUUUUUGUUUUGAAGAGUGAAUUAAUGUUUGGUAUGUAAAUAAUGUAUAAUGUGCAAAUAGUAUGGAAAAAUUUAGUGUUCCCACAUAUUCUUAAAAUCUAAUUAAAUAUAAUUGUUAUAUUCUUAAUAUUUUUCUGUUGAAAUGUGACUUUGACUUCACACAAAAAUUAGAUGAACAAAUAAAACAAUUUUGGUCAAAAUUGUGCCUCAUUUACUUUUUUGGUAUGCGUAACAACUGAUUAAUCACAACACAAAUAACAUCAAACAUUUACAAUAAAAAACAACAUUACAGAUCAACAGUAAGACAGAAGGCUGCACUAAUUGUUAAAGACAAGAUAAGUGUAAUUUCAGGUAGCUGGGACGUUUGAUUAUGUUUUAUGUCUUUCUUUUUUUUUUUUAAAAAAAAAACCUGUUGCAACUGUAAGACUUUAGAUUAUUAUUAAAUACCUUUUAUUUAUUUUUUGGUUUCUUUUUUUGUUGUUUGUUUUUGCUUUAAAAAAAAAUAAAAAGUUGUGUCUCAGCUCGCUUUUUGGAAAAUCAGUUUUAAGACAGGAGCAGUUACCUCCACACCAGGUGGUGGCAGUAUUGCACCAUUCUGUUUUUCUUGUCAAGCUGCAGGAACCGGAAAUCAGAAGCUAUGCGGUCUACAACGCACGCAUUUAAUUGCUUUUAAAAACUAUAAACACUAAAUUGUGCAGCACUGUAUGCCGUUAUAGUUAUCAAUUAGGGAGGGAAUUCGGACACAGCUUUUCAGGACUUUUGGAACCUUGAGAUUUAAUGUUUACAAGCUUCACGUGUUUACAUGGCUUUGUUACAAAACGGUCCGGUCCACAUCAGCGCCAUCUUCCUUCAUGUCAUCGUCGUCCUCAUCAGAAGAACUGCCGAUAUAAAUGACUCCAACAUGACUGUAAGGUUUGUCUGCUGUUGGAGUGCCUUCAGUUGAAGAUGUGACAUCUUCUAUCAUCUUUUCAUCUUGGAAACUGGUUAGGUUUCUAUUGAUGCCUUCACAGCACAGGUAUUGUCCUCCACAGAGGCAAAAACACCUCUUCCCUGAGCCAGGUUCAGGUGAACCAAAACCUUGGAGGUCCUUAAGAUCUGCAGAAAAAAAUGAAGGGGUAAAAGUUGUCCCGUCUAAAUUUCUUUCGUGAAUAAUGCUAAGAUCUUCCAUCUUGUGCUCCAAUCUGUUGUCCUGGGGAAAGCCUGAAGUAGAAUGGGGAGGCCUUUAUUUAAAUCCUCUGUCUGGAGUCUGACUUCCUAAUAAGGUUGAGGAGCAAGGUCGUAAAUCAAAAGUUCCGAAGUUUAUGGUUGCUCCUUUACCAUAAACACAUACAUUUUAACUCAAGGAUCAGAAUUAGCUAUUCUAUCAUUGUGCCAUGUCAUGUCAGACACCUCAGAACCCACACAGAUUUAAAUCUAUGGAGGUUUUUAAUACUAUACUAAUCUUUUAAUAUAUAUAUAUUUUUUGCUGUUGAACAUUCCAAGUAUGCUUUAGAUUUCUUGUUUUUAUUAACCCAGAAUAAGAUUUUCAGUUUCGAACAAUUUCAGAUACCUUGGCAUUAACAUAACAAAAGAUAUAUCUGGACUUUUUAAACAAAAUUUUCUGAAUCUUUACCAACAAACAAUUUAAGCGUCUAGGUAAUGUACCCAUCUCAUUAGCUGGUCGUGUAAAUAUAGUUAGAAUGAACGUAUUGCCAAAAUAUUUAUUCCUUUUCCAAUGCAUCCCUAUUAUAAUUCAUUAAAAGUUUUUAAAAAAAAAAUCGAUUCUCUUGUCUCAUCAUUUAUUUGGAAUAAAAAAACACCCAGAAUUAAAAAAGUUUUUUUGCAAAGACCAAAAUUCCUGGGAGGAUUAGGACUGCCUAGGUUUAGUCUGUAGUUGAGCUUAAAUGUAAGUGCGGACGAGCCAAUUUAUUCGCCCAAAACAGAAAAGAAAUACAACCUUUUUGGUAAAGUUACAUUUGUGAUUAAGACGAAAGAAAACCGAUAAUUCAAA